ensembl:lncRNA
GUGCGCUUCCCCCCCAGCCCCCUGCCUUGCUUCCCCGGGGAAAUGUGUGAUUUGUUUUGGUUUCCAAACCACUUCAUCCCGUUUCUCUUCCCUUAUCGCUGGUUUUCCGCAUCAAGACCCUCAUCUGCGAGGCACGGGGUGCCUGACUUCACGUUGCCUUCCUAAAUGUGCCCGGGAGCGCAGCCGGCACCCCGGCGGGAUGGGAAACUGGGGGAGCUCCGGCGCUUCCCACACAUCCCUCCCGUCGGACGCGGAAUCCUUCGGUUGCUGCUCCGCCACCGACUCGGACCCACUAGGAAGAAUUAUUCCACAGUAUCAGUCUGCCCGGUUUUUCACAGAGCUAACAAGGGAGCAUGCACAUGUGGCUAACUGCUACCAACUUUGGGCUGCCUUCUACUAGCACCCCAAAACCCCUCAAUUCCCCUUACCUCAGCCUCGAGGGAAUCAGGGCCAGGGGUCUCUGCAGUGGGCAGAUGGUAUGUGAGGGAGGGAUGGAGAGGUGCAGUUCACAGUCAGAGCUGUGGCACAGCUGGAAUAAACUGCAUUUGUCAGGAUUGUAGGAAAAAACUGGGGUGGAAGGGACUUCAGGAGAUACUUUGUAAUUUUUAAAAGUAUCUCUGUUAUUUAGAUACUUGUCGUUUCAAGUAAUCUAAACCCCCUAGACAUUAAGUUGUACUGAGAAUCAAUGGCAUGCAAGCUGUGAGAUGCUUGAAUUCACAGCAGUGAAAGGGAUGUUGGUUCUUCACACUCCUCCUCCUCCCCUUCCUCCCAUGGUAUGUCAAUCUAGCAGCCAUUAGCACUAUGUAGGGUGAGGAGAAGGAGCUUCUAUUGACCUCGUGUAAGUCCAUGAUCCAAGACAAGCUCUGCCUGAUGACUAAUUUCCUCUUUCUGCUGUGGCCAGGCUGCCCCAGAGCAGACAUUGCAAGGAUUUUCUUCAAGUGGAGAAAGCAGAGGUUGUGGAGAAAGUACUGGAGAAGAUGUGCCGAGUCCUGGUUCAGCACCGUAUCUGUGACAGCGGUGCUGCCUCCUCCGUUACCUCCCGUGUCCCAAGUGUCACUGUGGUUUGAUUUUCCUUUCCAGGAGGACUUUAGCUGGAUCAAGAGGCUGUGUCACUGGGCACCACAGCACAACAGUGCAAGGGCAGCUGCCAGGUCAGGAGACAUCAGAAGAGCACAGAUAAUUGCUCCCCGAGGGGCCGGGCAGAGAGCGAGGAGCAGAGACUGAUAAUCCGGGAGGACAUGGAUACAAAUAUCAGGCUGCUGCGCUGAGUGCCUGCUUAAUUUAUUGGGAACGAGCUGUUACUCAGCACUUUGCAGGAUUAGACCCGCUGUAAUUCUGUUAUUUAAGGAGAGGCAGAGCCGAACCACAACAACAACCCACCCGGGGCCGCUGUGGAGACGGGCGGCGCUGGAGAGGAGCACAUGCUGGUUUAUUUUUUACGCUAUGGAAAGAAUGAGCUUUUAGGACACAAAGUCCUGGCGAGGGGGAGGUGGGAGGGGAGUGAGGGGACAGCCUGGCUCCGUGCUGGCCGCCCCAGCCCAGGGCUGCUGCUGGCAGCCGCUGGUGCCGGACAGGUGGGGACAGCGCCCAGGUGACAACCGGGACCACCAGCAGUGCCCGCUGGCUCCUGCUUGGAACGCAGAGUGUUAUGUUGAUUGUAUCUCAUCGUGUAGUGAACCAGCACCCCUCUGGUGGGCUGUUCUUAUCUAGGACUUCACCAAAAAAAUGAGAAUUCAGCCCCCUUCCGUCUUGAAGUUUUCCUUGGGCUCUCUCUGCAUCCUCGAAAUCGGCGUAAAUUACCCAGCAGGAUGCCAAGAGGCUUGAACAGAGUAAAGAAAGGUGCCUUCUCUUUGUCUUCUCUGUCUUGGCCUGGUGGACCUCUUCUUUCAUACUGUAUUUGGUACAAUUAUCUGAAUUUUCACUAGCCAGUGAAAAACCCCCACCUUCUGGGAAACCAAAGGCCUGGAAAGAAAUGUUUAGACUUUCUGGCCCAAUUGGAAGUUGGAGUGACAUUAAAAUACAGUGGCCUUUUCUGCAGAAGGUUUCUCUCUGAGGAAAAUAAAUGUAUUUAUCUGAUUGUCUAUUAAAGCA